CUUGUCAAGCAGCAUAAUGAAGAUGUAAUGGAAUAUGAAAGAAGAAAACAAGCAAGAGGACAUAAGUGUAGAGAAUGUUCAUAGCUGAUGACACGGUCACAAAGAUAUGUGCACUACAGGGCCAAGUGUAUGUGGUCGUUUUCCUACGAAUAAAUGAGCACAGAAGAAGUAAAAAGUUACCUAAUUGCUUGCAUGUUCAUACAUUUCAUGUGCAUAAUUAAAAAUAAAUUAUAAAGUCUAGAAGAAACCUGAAACUACUUUCUUUACCAUUAAUAUUUCAUUCUGCUGGUCUUGAAGUUGUUUUAUGUUUUUAUUUCCAUUUAAUAGUUUAUCAGUCUUAUUUUCAAAACUGUCUUUGCUAUUCUGGAAGGUAUAUUACAAAAUUAAACAUCAGUUCAGAUUAGGUUCAGUAAAUAUUCCAGAAUAUUCCAGUCUUGCUCUGCCAUCACUUUCACUGCUAAAUUUAUAAAAUGAGCAAAUAUAAGAAUAGCAUCUGUAUAAAUGCUAAAAUAUGCAUUUUCCUGUGAGCAUUUUGGGAACUGGCCAUGCCUGAAAGGUGCCCACAGGGGAUGAACUACACAGCCCAUGUCAGUCUUGGGUGUGAGCACUGCCUUCUGAACACUUCUGCCCUCUCUUUGUGCAUCAAGGUCAGUCAAGGACAGAGGCUGGAAAAAGGGCAUCAUGGCAGACUAUGAUGGCAUUAGAUGAUCAUUGAGGGAAGAAGGAAGCUCUGGAUAGAGAAAGGAGGAGAAACAGAGCUACUGCCUAACAAUGUAGGUAGGACAAGGAUAGCUGCCCAGGUUUGAUGCGGAAACACCCAUGGUUGUGACAGUCGACAUGAUACCAGAGCAGCGAUUCACUUCGAGUGUCUCACUGCCAACACCGACUGCCUUUGGCACGGUGCUUAACCCGAGUGCUCUUCUCAAUUUUUUUUUUUUUUUCUCUUGGAAAAAUUCCUUUUUAAGUAAAACAGUAGUUUCUCCCUAUGUUCUUUCUCCUUGGUAAAUGCCAUCCCUAUUAUCCAGGGUCUGUUGUUGCAGUCAGUACCGAACGCCCUUUACUUGCCAAUGGGGCAGGUCGGUAUCGGCAGCGCCCGGCUCUGCGCAAUGUGCGCUCCGCUCCAGAAAGCCGCUUCCCCCUCCCGCUGCCGCUGGGGCUCCUACGGCGCCGUUCCCGGGACACCCCCGGCCGGGAGCGGCGUCCUGGUACGCGGGGCGGGGUGGGGCUGCGGCUCGACCCGCCCCCGCGGCGCCCGAGGCGGGAGCGGUGUCUGCGGCCGCAUCCCCGCCACGACGGGCAGCUGAGAGUCGGCUUCGUUCUGCUCCGCUCCGCCGCCCGCUGCUUGGCCAUGUCCCUCUGCAGGACCGCCUCGCAGGCGCUGGCCUCCCUCCUGAGCAGGGUUCCUUCCGCCGCCAGCCGCCUCAAGCAGCGAGCGCCUCCUCGCCAGAUGUCAUCUGGGAGUGUUCCUGGCUCUUCUAGAGACAGCAUGAUGAUCUAUCUGCUUGCUGGUGUUGCUGUUGGUGGUUUAUUUUAUGCCUACAGAGUAGUCAGUUCACCCCGCAGCAAGUUUGUUGAACAUAAAAAUAUUCUUCAUGAGAGAGCCGAGGGGCAGAAAAGCAAUCCUUGGUCAAGAAAGGAAGGUGAUGGAGAAGAAGUGGAUGAAGUCACUGGAGCAGAGAAGACCAUGGAAGAAGCUGAUGCAGCAGCUUCUGUUGAACCUGCAGCACAGGAUGAGCGUGCUGGACCUACAGCACAGGAUGAGACUUCUGGGGUAUCCCCAGAAGCUGGAGGGGAGAAUGACUUACUGGCUCCAGAGGUAUCCCAUGCUGUGGAAGAAGCACAGCAGGAAGCUCCUGCUAAUUCAGAAGCUGCUGCUAAUUUGGAACUUGCUGCUAAUUCAGAAGCUGCUGCAGUUCAAGAAACUGUGAAUAAAGUCUCGGAUCUUGCAGCUUCUUCUGCCCAUGAGGAAAACUUAGACAGUGACAAGGAAGGAGUAGCCUCAGCAGCUCAAGAGAUUUCUGAUACAGACUCAAAGAGCCAGGACAACGAUGCUGAGGAGUUGUGGUGAACUUCAGGGGGUGCAAGAGUCCAGCUGGGUCUGAAAUUUUCUGAGGAGGAGAAGACAACUGAAGAAGUUGGUAAAGAACCCUAAAGUAAACAGUGUGGACGUCUUUGAAAAGUUUAAUGCAAAUAUUUGUGGCAAUUAACCAGCUGAUUCCUGUGUGAAACCUCUCUUCCUUGAAGACAUAAAAGAAACUGUGCAGUUUGUCCUACCACACAUUGGUCAUUAUGGCCAGUAUUCAGUGCUGAAGGAAAUGAAUUGCAUUGCCUAGAGAAAUGCUUCUGUGACUAACAACUCUGCUGUAGAAAGUAGCAUCCAGUGAAGCCACUCAGCAUGUCCUAAAUACAUGUGCUAAGAGAAGCAGUAUGAUGCCAGAUGAACUCCUUCUAUGUCUUUGUUGUCCUGAUAUGUACAUUGAUUUCUUACUUUUGGUCCAAACUGUUGUGCAUAGUUUUACAUUAGCAUUCCAUGCUAAAAUGUAAGCAAAAGGUUUUAAAAUCAAGCCAAAAUAUUAUAAAAGUAACUGUUAGCAUUUUCAAAUUGGAUCACAGGAAAAAUAACAACAUGUUUGCUCCUGAGUUUGGAUUUGUGAUUGUAAGCAUAGGACAUCUGGCUGCACAUGACCUAAUUUUCCUCCUGCAUAAGCAUUUCAGCUGCUACCAUUCCUUGCACAGUAACAUCCAGGAGUAAACAUUUUAAGGCUCCUGCUUUGGGAAGAAAACCUGUUCACAAGUAGUAGCCGUAGGUACUUUAUAGCCUGACAAUCAAAAUAGCACUGGUUGGCGUUUUCAUCAUGUAUCAAAGUGGUGGCUGGCUCCUGCCUUGGGUGUGCUGGGCUCUGCUCCUCCCAAAUCUCAUUCAGCUUGCUAGUCUUUUCGUGUUGCUCUGUCUUGGCAGUGGCAUGUAGUGGUAGUGUAACAACACGAAAGCUUGGUAUAAACCUUCAAGCUGAUACAAAUCACAAGCCUGUCUCUAGAGCAUUUGUACACGGAGUGCAAAAUCCCUGUGAAGGGCUAUGCAACAGGUCUUCAAAUGGACAGGCAUUCUUAGGGACUAAAAAAGGACCAAAUAGCUAAAUAACCUUGUUUUCUCAGUAUUAGCUUAAUAAAAAAUACAUUUAUUAUGAAUAACAGGUUUGUUUGUGUCUCGGUUUGGAAAGAAAGGUGUCUGCUAAGGAAGGCAGGAGCCUCUCCUAAAAUGGAAAAAAUGUAAACCCCCCUCCCUCCAAAUUUUUAUAAAUUUGAAAUUAAGGGGCUCUCAGGCAAAAA